rnacentral:rRNA from 1 species
CGCUGGCGGCGUGCCUAAUACAUGCAAGUAGAACGCACAGUUUAUACCGUAGCUUGCUACACCAUAGACUGUGAGUUGCGAACGGGUGAGUAACGCGUAGGUAACCUGCCUGGUAGCGGGGGAUAACUAUUGGAAACGAUAGCUAAUACCGCAUAAUAUUAAUUAUUGCAUGAUAAUUAAUUGAAAGGUGCAAUUGCACCACUACCAGAUGGACCUGCGUUGUAUUAGCUAGUAGGUGAGGUAACGGCUCACCUAGGCGACGAUACAUAGCCGACCUGAGAGGGUGAUCGGCCACACUGGGACUGAGACACGGCCCAGACUCCUACGGGAGGCAGCAGUAGGGAAUCUUCGGCAAUGGACGAAAGUCUGACCGAGCAACGCCGCGUGAGUGAAGAAGGUUUUCGGAUCGUAAAGCUCUGUUGUAAGAGAAGAACGGGUGUGGGAGUGGAAAGUUCACACUGUGACGGUAUCUUACCAGAAAGGGACGGCUAACUACGUG